UACGUAGGGUCCGAGCGUUGUCCGGAAUUAUUGGGCGUAAAGGGCUCGUAGGCGGUUUGUCACGUCGGGCGUGAAAACUCAGGGCUCAACCCUGAGCGUGCUUCCGAUACGGGCAGACUAGAGGUAUGCAGGGGAGAACGGAAUUCCUGGUGUAGCGGUGGAAUGCGCAGAUAUCAGGAGGAACACCGGUGGCGAAGGCGGUUCUCUGGGCAUUACCUGACGCUGAGGAGCGAAAGCAUGGGGAGCGAACAGG
rnacentral:rRNA from 1 species